rnacentral:sRNA from 1 species
AUGGCUGUCGUCAGCUCGUGUCGUGAGAUGUUGGGUUAAGUCCCGCAACGAGCGCAACCCUCGUUCUAUGUUGCCAGCGGGUUAUGCCGGGGACUCAUAGGAGACUGCCGGGGUCAACUCGGAGGAAGGUGGGGAUGACGUCAAAUCAUCAUGCCCCUUAUGUCUUGGGCUUCACGCAUACUACAAUGGCCAGUACAAAGGGCUGCGAUACCGCAAGGUGGAGCGAAUCCCAAAAAGCCGGUCUCAGUUCGGAUUGGGGUCUGCAACUCGACCCCAUGAAGUCGGAGUCGCUAGUAAUCGCAGAUCAGCAACGCUGCGGUGAAUACGUUCCCGGGCCUUGUACACACCGCCCGUCACACCACGAAAGUCGGCAACACCCGAAGCCGGUGGCCCAACCCUUUUGGGGGGGAGCCGUCGAAGGUGGGGUUGGCGAUUGGGGUGAAGUCGUAACAAGGUAGCCGUACCGGAAGGUGCGGCUGGAUCACCUCCUUUCUAAGGAACACACUGCCCGGUCCGAAGCGUUUGUCUUCGGGCUACCGGGAAGUUCCUACGUCGAGCACUGGUAUAUGUGGCGUCACGACACCCUCUCGACCCUGGUGCACCAGCCAGCUGAGACGGCUCUUCGGAGCUCGAUCGGCCGGGCCGUCACCGGCACCACCGAGACGUCGUGCAGUCCGGUUUUCACUGCUCUGUUUUGAGGAAGCGGCCUCCACGCGAGCGCGCCUUCGGGUGCGGCCGGCGUGAGCCCUUGCUCUAUCGGCAGAUCGGGUGCCGUUCCGUUGAGCCCUGCUCCGGAACGAUCCAUACCGCCGCCGGCGAGACGAGCUUCGUCUCGGCUGGAACUUUGAGAACUGCAUAGCGAGCACGAGCGUCUUGGAAAUACGUUGUAGGUCCUCGGUCUUCGAACGAGUUUUCCGCCCGUUCGAAUGCACGAGGACUGUGCGAUUUCAAGCUAUGAAGAGCCAACGGUGGAUGCCUUGGCGCCAGAUGCCGAUGAAGGACGUGGGUGGCUGCGAAAAGCCACGGGGAGCUGUCCACCAAGCUUUGAUCCGUGGAUAUCCGAAUGGGGAAACCCGG